rnacentral:lncRNA from 1 species
GAGCUCAAGUGAUCCACCUGCCUUGGACUCCCAAAAUGCUGGGAUUACAGGUGUGAGCCACUGUGCCUGGCAGGAACUAUUAUUUGACUUCACAAUGGCCUCAAAGUUCCAAGAGUAUGAUGCUGGCAAUCUGGAUAUGCCAAAAACCAGCCAUGAAGUCCUUCCUUUAGUUAAAAGGUGAAAGUUCUCAAGAAAAAAAAAAGUAUGCUGAGAUUGCUAAGAUCUACAGGUCACACAAGGUCUUAAGACACAGGAGUCCCUGUGUCUGAACGUAAUCACUGUGUAUGCGUCUCAGCCUAAUGAGGAGGUGACUAUCAUGAAGGUCUGGUGGUGAAGAUCUUGCAAGAAGGUGCCUUGUUUGAGAUCUUUCAAGGAAACACAGUACUCAAUAAAUGUGGUUCGGUGUACAGUUGAGCCUUGAGCAACAUGGAUUUGAACUGCAUGGGGCCACUUAAAUGUGCAUUUUCUUAUGACUCCGC